rnacentral:rRNA from 1 species
UGGGGAAUAUUGCACAAUGGGCGCAAGCCUGAUGCAGCCAUGCCGCGUGUAUGAAGAAGGCCUUCGGGUUGUAAAGUACUUUCAGUCGGGAGGAAGGUGGUAAGGUUAAUAACCUUAUCAAUUGACGUUACCGACAGAAGAAGCACCGGCUAACUCCGUGCCAGCAGCCGCGGUAAUACGGAGGGUGCAAGCGUUAAUCGGAAUUACUGGGCGUAAAGCGCACGCAGGCGGUUGAUUGAGUCAGAUGUGAAAUCCCCGGGCUUAACCCGGGAAUUGCAUCUGAUACUGGUCAGCUAGAGUCUUGUAGAGGGGGGUAGAAUUCCAUGUGUAGCGGUGAAAUGCGUAGAGAUGUGGAGGAAUACCGGUGGCGAAGGCGGCCCCCUGGACAAAGACUGGCGCUCAGGUGCGAAAGCGUGGGGAGCAAACAGG